rnacentral:lncRNA from 1 species
UCCCAAAUUUACACUCUCUGGGCAUAAUAGAACAAUAUAAUUAGGUUUUACUCAUUGUUCGAUAGAAUGAGAAAAAGUACUCGUUGCAAAUUUAUACUGUUUGGGCGCAACUGAGUAUUGUAAUGUUGUUUCGGUUUUAAUUCUUGUGAACGUUGACAUGAAAUCGUUCCAAAUUUACACUCUCGGGACAUAAUAGAAAAAUAUAAUUAGGUUUUACUCUUUGUUCGAUAGAAUUAGAAAAAGUACUCGUUGCAAAGUUAUACUAUAAAGGUGCAACUGGGUAGUCUAAUGUUGUUCCGGUUUUUCUUCUUGUGAACGUUGACAUCGAUUCGUUCCAAAUUUACACUCUCUGGGCAUAAUAGAACAAUAUAAUUAGGUUUUACGCUUUGUUCGAUAGAAUGAGAAAAAGUACUCAUUGCAAAGUUAUACUGUUAGGGCGCAACUGAGUAGUCUAAUGUUGUUCCGGUUUUUGUUCUUGUGAACGUUGACAUCGAUUAGUUCCAAAUUCACAAUCUCAGGGCAUAAUAGAACAAUAUAAUUAGGUUUUACUCUUUGUUCGAUUGAAUGACAAAAAGUACUCGUUGCAAUGUUAAAUUGUUAGGACGCAACUGAGUAGUCUAAUGUUGUUCUGGUUUGGUUCUUGUGAACGUUAACAUCGAUUCGUUCCAAAUUUACACUCUCGGGGCAUAAUAGAACAAUAUAAUUAGGUUUUACUCUUUGUUCGAUUGAAUGAGAAAAAGUACUCGUUGCAAAGUUAUACUGUUAGGGCGCAACUGAGUAGUCUAAUGUUGUUCUGGUUUUGGUUCUUGUGAACGUUGACAUCGAUUCAAUCCAAAUUAACACUCUUGGGGUAUAAUAGAACAAUAUAAUUAGGUUUUACUCCUUGUUCGAUUUAAUGAGAAAAAGUACUCGUCGCAAAGUUAUACUGUUAGUGCGCAACUGAGUAGUCUAAUGUUGUUCCGGU